GUAAUCUCGAUAAUUUGAACUUUACAAGUCGACUCAGCUCCGUUUAGUUUCGUAAGCAUCGGGACUUGGACUCCCAAUUGCAUAACGCUUUGUUCGGUCGUUGUCGCCGAUCAUAAUCGUCGAAAACAUGACGAGGAAGUAAGUGUCAGCAGUAAUCUCAUGCAACACCCAUAGUUACGAGGGCAUCAGUCGGUAGUGUUGGACAGCUAAACCCAAGCUAUCACCUUGUCGCACCGCAUUCAUUGUCCGUUGCGCAUCUAAACUAUCCGACGACUACAUACACGCGAGUACCACCUCAGCUAUAAACCGAGGGAAAUAUGUACCUGGUUGCUGGCGGCACUGUGGGCAUUACACAAAACAAUAGCUCUCCUCCGAAAGCAGCCAACCGCAUGUGUAUUCAACGAAUGCAACCAACCGCUGAGAUGAGCAAGUGAUGAUAAGGACUCUGCUGUAACCAGCCAGUGCC